UACGUAGGGUGCAAGCGUUGUCCGGAAUUAUUGGGCGUAAAGGGCGCGUAGGCGGUUUGUUAAGUCGGUCGUGAAAGCCCGGGGCUCAACCCCGGAGGGUCGACCGAUACUGGCAGACUAGAGUACAGAAGAGGUAACUGGAAUUCCCGGUGUAGCGGUGAAAUGCGUAGAUAUGCGGAGGAACACCGAUGGCGAAGGCAAUCUCCUGGGCCUGCACUGACGCUCAUGCACGAAAGCGUGGGGAGCAAACAGG
rnacentral:rRNA from 1 species